AAAGCCGGUCGUUUCUCGUUGUAUAGCUUUGACGUGUUUACCGGGCAAGAGUAUCCCUGUGACGUGCUGGCUCGUCAGUGUCUUCUUUAACUGCAGUACAGCCGGCCGGACACUAUGAAGCGUGCAGUCGCCAUUCUGUGCAUGGUCGCUUCGGCAACGAGCGGUGUGCUGUCGGUGCCCCGGGCCCAAGCUUCGUACAGAAGUGUUCAAGAGCGUAUAGGGCAGCUAGCAGAGGGGUUCAACGCUCUUCAAGAUUCCUUCCAACCUCGACACUGCGCAGACCUCCUUCACAACGGCCAAAACACUAGCGGUGUGUACACCGUGUUCCAUGAGGCCACUGGCCCUUCAAGACAGAAUGUAUACUGCGACAUGGACACUGACGGCGGAGGUUGGACAGUAAGGA
rnacentral:lncRNA from 1 species